GUGGGGAAUAUUGGACAAUGGGCGAAAGCGUGAUCCAGCCAUGCCGCGUGUGUGAAGAAGGUCUUCGGAUUGUAAAGCACUUUAAGUGGGAGGAAGGGCAGUUACCUAAUAUGUAAUGUAGACGUACUGACAGCGAG
rnacentral:rRNA from 1 species